rnacentral:rRNA from 1 species
GGCUCAGAUUGAACGCUGGCGGCAUGCUUUACACAUGCAAGUCGAACGGCAGCGGGGGCUUCGGCCUGCCGGCGAGUGGCGAACGGGUGAGUAAUGCAUCGGAACGUGCCCAUGUCUGGGGGAUAACGUAGCGAAAGCUACGCUAAUACCGCAUACGUCCUGAGGGAGAAANCGGGGGGAUCUUUGGACCUCGCGCGAUUGGAGCGGCCGAUGUCGGAUUAGCUAGUAGGUGAGGUAAAGGCUCACCUAGGCGACGAUCCGUAGCGGGUCUGAGAGGAUGAUCCGCCACACUGGGACUGAGACACGGCCCAGACUCCUACGGGAGGCAGCAGUGGGGAAUUUUGGACAAUGGGGGCAACCCUGAUCCAGCCAUGCCGCGUGAGUGAAGAAGGCCUUCGGGUUGUAAAGCUCUUUCGGCCGGGAAGAAAUCGUGGUCUCUAACAUAGGCCAUGGAUGACGGUACCGGACUAAGAAGCACCGGCUAACUACGUG